rnacentral:sRNA from 1 species
AUGAAGUACAGUGGAAUGAAACUUAUUGAUGCUAAACUUAUUUUGAUUGGAGUAUCAAAGGAACCAAUUAAAGCAGAAGUCAACUUUGUCCAGAAACGUGUUGUGGUGAUUGGCAAGCUAGUAUCAGCUUUGAAAAGAAGAAGGAAUACGUCAUCGAGUCUAGAGUUCAGAAAUACGCCACUGCAAGCACGAGCUGAAUACAAGAAGGGAAAAGCCAUAAAGGUGGACUUGACUGUUGACCGCAUCGUGUCAAAGCCAAUAAAACUGUCUGUUCAAGUCAGAGAUGCCAGCAAUAAAAAGAGCACAGAACCAAAAGAUGGCCAUUGUUGCUCAACACUCGACUAUGUUAUUCCAAAGGUUAUGAGAGACAAAGUAACGUUAAAUGAAAAACUGAAUGUUGCUAACACAAAAAGCCUCUCGGCUGCGAAAGGAAACAUCAUUUUGACAUUUAAGCAGCGGUCCGACUACAAUCUUAAUGUAAAUUUUGAUGUCAGCAAGAACUGGAAACAUUCUGAAGCUUCACUGACUGUUGAUAUGGGCCAAACAAGAAGACAUAAAAAGCGAAUCGAGUUUUCCAGUGUUUUAAAUCACGUCCUAAAUUGGAAACAAAAGAAGUUUAAUCUGGACCAAAUACAAAUUUAUCUUCCCUACCUGCUGGAAAAUGGACACAAAAGCAUCAUUGAAAGCACCCUUCGAAACGUUGGUACAAAUGAAUACGACAUUUCAACUUCCUUCAACAUCCCAACAUAUAUGUACUCGCAGUCUCAGGACAAUACCGAUUUAUCCCAAGCAAUUUUCAAGCCAAUUCCGAAAUUCUGUAUGGAAAAACAAAGUAUGCAGUAUCUUUGUCAUCACUGGUCCGAAUCGGAUCUCGCAUUCAGGUUGCAGCUGACCUAG